CAGGCGCGCCACGGGGACGCUGUGGCCCCUUGCCCAAGGGGCCGGGCCGGCCAGGAGGCGGCGCCGGGAGGGGCCACCGAGGGUCCCACGGGAGCCUGCUGGGUUUCCCAGAUGCCUUCCCGAGCCCCCACCGCAAAGCUGGCGUCGGAAGGGGGCGGGCGGGCUGGUGGGGGCCACUCAGAGUUUCCAGCGACAUUUCCAGGGUGUGGGAAUCGAGCUGUUCUGCAGAGCCGGGACAGAGGGCAGGAGUGAUAGUGCCAGAGGCCGGGUGGAGCCAGCAUUAGAUACGCAGCCCUCGGCCUGGGAGAGGCAGGAGACAGGCCCGGAGGCAGACAGGCUGGGACCGAGAUAAGGGAGCCCCACAGGCACGGUGGCCUCGGAGCGAAGGCAGUGCCCACUUGGAGAGAGUUUGUGCCCGUCUAAGCGCGCGGCCAGACGUUUUCGAACAGCCACGCGUGUACUGGCAAACGUGAGGAUGCUCACACACGUGCAAAGUUUAGGGAAGGAACUUGUCUUAAGAGAGCCAGCGGCACCCUGGACGUGCCGCGGGACUGGAGGAUAAGGAGAUGACGAAGCGGAAGAUCUUCCAACUCCAGGAAUCCUGGCCAUCCCCCUCACCAGCAGCGGACUUCUUAGGCUCUAGGGCUCUGACCUGGGCUCCAAGAUAAAUAUUUAAUGUAGAGGGUGCCGCUGAGCUGCCAAAGGUCCCAGCUUCCUGUUUCUCACGAGAGAAGGAGAAUUCCUCCUGUCUUAAGAAGAUUAAAGGGAGAAACGUAGCAAGGUUCCGAGACUGGACUAAGAGCCAGGUGUCUGGUUUCCUGACUCCUCCCCCUACUCCAGCUCCUCGCUGCCUGCCUGCCUCACAGCUGGGCAGCUUCCAGUGGCGUUCAAGAGCCAGCUAUCUGAUUCCAGUCACCCGGAGCCCCACCCAGCCCCAGGCAGCCAAUUCUGCCCGAUGCACAUUCUCCUCCCUUCUCCCCUCUUCCCCCCUCCCCCCUCCCCCAGUACUCUGUCCUCUGCCACCAACUCAAAAGCACCAUCAGUCAAGUGACUACCAGUUAGCGCUGAGGAAGAGUCUACCAUUUGGAUGAGUCACACGGACAUCUCUGCUGCGGGCCUCUGUCCUCCACAGAAAGGCACCUGCUAGGUCCUUCCCUGGGACAACCUUCAGUCCACCCUUCAGGUAGACUGUCACAUCCAUUUUGAUUUGGGCUCCUAGAAGAGUAUUUUCUUUCUACGGACCAGAUGCGAGUAGCCGAGGAUAUGCAGACCGCCCCAGAAAGGACCACAAGUAACCCAACAUCGAGAACUGGAGCCAAGUCCCCAUGGAUAGUCCAGCACAGACCUGGACUCUGUUUCAUCCCUGGGGCCAUCUCCUGACUCCAGCUCGUGCAGUGCUGCCAAGUAAGCUCCAUCAAUGGCCCCGCAUACGCCAACCACUCAUGGGAACAGGGGCAAACAAGGCAGCAAAGUGAAGUGACCCACUUUGGGGCUCCAAGGGCCCUCUUGCACACUGGCCUAUCUAUCUGGAAGUCCGGGUUUUUUGAUUCAGUCACUGCAACGUGAAGGAAUUCUGAGUGGGAAAAAAAAAAAAAAAACAACAAAACAUGAACAACAAAAAAUGCAGUGCGGGUCAAGAAUGGUCAAUGUCAGGCCUGGCAGCCAGGUCAGGUAUGUUAAAAGCCAAGGGAAUAAGAGGAGGCUGAGGAUUUCAGGCCUGCCUUGCACAAAUAUUUUCAUAGCACAAAUAUAAUAGGCACCUCAUGGCUCUCAACAUCUAGACCCAAGGCUGUGGAAAGAAUCAGUCCUUGCCCAAUUUAUCCAGCCUGUCCUCUCGGAGGCCCGGACACGGACUGAUAUCAUAUCCACCAUGUGCUCCUUUUUCAUGGGUGAACAAACAGAUGCCACAGGCAGACAGGAUGCCCCUGAGAGGCAACUAGACAGACUUCCUUCGGUUCUCGCAAAGGACGAAAAGAACAAGUUGUCAGCUCUUGAGAAAGCAGACUUUACAGAGAAGGAUAAAUGAGCGAUGACCUCAGAGAGGACACAAGCCAAGUCAGCUCGGCCACAGACGAGGGCACAGAACCAGGGGCUGGAAAAUUAGGUCUGCCUCAGCCUUCCUUUCCAGCUCAGGUAAACUGAGAUAAGGGAGACAGAGGGCUGACUGGCUGGCCAGAGGGCACCAGGAGGUAGAGCGCUGGUCUUCAAACAAAGGCUAACCUGUCUUUCUGCCUCCUAGAAUUCUAUGGCGAACUGUCCCCACUGCAUCAGCAUUAAGACUUAAUUCAUCCCUAAGUGAGCAACCCACUGUUGAGUAAGCAGAUUUUUAAUAAAAUCUUAAGAGUUGUGAUCUUUGAAAAAGCAAAGGAAGAAGGAAGGGAGGGGGAGGA